rnacentral:rRNA from 1 species
GACGAACGCUGGCGGCGUGCCUAAUACAUGCAAGUAGAACGCUGAAGGAGGAGCUUGCUUCUCUGGAUGAGUUGCGAACGGGUGAGUAACGCGUAGGUAACCUGCCUGGUAGCGGGGGAUAACUAUUGGAAACGAUAGCUAAUACCGCAUAAUAGUAGAUGUUGCAUGACAUUUGCUUAAAAGGUGCAAUUGCAUCACUACCAGAUGGACCUGCGUUGUAUUAGCUAGUUGGUGGGGUAACGGCUCACCAAGGCGACGAUACAUAGCCGACCUGAGAGGGGGAUCGGCCACACUGGGAAUGAGACACGGCCCAGACUCCUACGGGAGGCAGCAGUAGGGAAUCUUCGGCAAUGGACGGAAGUCUGACCGAGCAACGCCGCGUGAGUGAAGAAGGUUUUCGGAUCGUAAAGCUCUGUUGUAAGAGAAGAACGAGUGUGAGAGUGGAAAGUUCACACUGUGACGGUAUCUUACCAGAAAGAGACGGCUAACUACGUG